rnacentral:rRNA from 1 species
UUUAUUUUGAGAGUUUGAUCCUGGCUCAGGAUGAACGCUGGCGGCGUGCCUAACACAUGCAAGUCGAGCGGGAAAGUCGUUACGGAUCCUUCGGGUGAAAGAAUGACUGGAGAGCGGCGGACGGGUGAGUAACGCGUGGGAAACCUUCCUUAUACAAAGGGAUAGCCUCGGGAAACCGGGAUUAAUACCUUAUAAAACUCUAGCACCACAUGGUGCAUGAGUCAAAACUCCGGUGGUAUAAGAUGGUCCCGCGUCCCAUUAGCUAGUUGGUGAGAUAAAAGCUCACCAAGGCGACGAUGGGUAGCCGGCCUGAGAGGGUGAACGGCCACACUGGAACUGAGACACGGUCCAGACUCCUACGGGAGGCAGCAGUGGGGAAUAUUGCACAAUGGGGGAAACCCUGAUGCAGCGACGCCGCGUGAGUGAUGAAGGCCUUUGGGUCGUAAAACUCUGUCCUAAGGGAAGAUAAUGACGGUACCUUAGGAGGAAGCCCCGGCUAACUACGUGCCAGCAGCCGCGGUAAUACGUAGGGGGCGAGCGUUAUCCGGAAUUAUUGGGCGUAAAGGGUACGUAGGCGGCCAGAUAAGUCAGGUGUGAAAGGCGUCGGCUCAACCGGCGUAAGCACUUGAAACUAUUUGGCUUGAGUACAGGAGAGGAAAGUGGAAUUCCUAGUGUAGCGGUGAAAUGCGUAGAUAUUAGGAGGAACACCAGUGGCGAAGGCGACUUUCUGGACUGAUACUGACGCUGAGGUACGAAAGCGUGGGGAGCGAACAGGAUUAGAUACCCUGGUAGUCCACGCCGUAAACGAUGAGUGCUAGGUGUUGGGGGUCGAACCUCAGUGCCGCAGCUAACGCAUUAAGCACUCCGCCUGGGGAGUACGGUCGCAAGACUGAAACUCAAAGGAAUUGACGGGGACCCGCACAAGCAGCGGAGCAUGUGGUUUAAUUCGAAGCAACGCGAAGAACCUUACCAACAUUUGACAUCCCUCUGACAACUCUAGAGAUAGAGUCUCCCUUCGGGGCAGAGGUGACAGGUGGUGCAUGGUUGUCGUCAGCUCGUGUCGUGAGAUGUUGGGUUAAGUCCCGCAACGAGCGCAACCCUUACCUUUAGUUGCCAUCAUUAAGUUGGGCACUCUAGAGGGACUGCCGAUGAUAAAUCGGAGGAAGGUGGGGAUGACGUCAAAUCAUCAUGCCCCUUAUAUGUUGGGCUACACACGUGCUACAAUGGUCGGUACAACGGGCAGCGAAACCGCGAGGUGGAGCGAAUCUCAAUAAGCCGAUCACAGUUCGGAUUGUAGGCUGCAACUCGCCUACAUGAAGCCGGAGUUGCUAGUAAUCGCGGAUCAGAAUGUCGCGGUGAAUACGUUCCCGGGUCUUGUACACACCGCCCGUCACACCACGAGAGUUGGUAACACCCGAAGCCAGUGAGCUAACCGCAAGGAGGCAGCUGUCGAAGGUGGGAUCGAUGAUUGGGGUGAAGUCGUAACAAGGUAGCCGUAUCGGAAGGUGCGGCUGGAUCACCUCCUUUCU